GAGUUUGAUCAUGGCUCAGAUUGAACGCUGGCGGCAGGCCUAACACAUGCAAGUCGAGCGGUAGCACAGAGAGCUUGCUCUCGGGUGACGAGCGGCGGACGGGUGAGUAAUGUCUGGGAAACUGCCUGAUGGAGGGGGAUAACUACUGGAAACGGUAGCUAAUACCGCAUAACGUCGCAAGACCAAAGUGGGGGACCUUCGGGCCUCAUGCCAUCAGAUGUGCCCAGAUGGGAUUAGCUGGUAGGUGGGGUAACGGCUCACCUAGGCGACGAUCCCUAGCUGGUCUGAGAGGAUGACCAGCCACACUGGAACUGAGACACGGUCCAGACUCCUACGGGAGGCAGCAGUGGGGAAUAUUGCACAAUGGGCGCAAGCCUGAUGCAGCCAUGCCGCGUGUGUGAAGAAGGCCUUCGGGUUGUAAAGCA
rnacentral:rRNA from 1 species